UACGGAGGGUGCGAGCGUUAUCCGGAAUUACUGGGUUUAAAGGGUGCGUAGGCGGCUAAGUAAGUCAGGAGUGAAAGUUUGCGGCUCAACCGUAAAAUUGCUUUUGAUACUGCAUAGCUAGAAUUAGGAUGAGGUCAGCGGAAUGUGGCAUGUAGCGGUGAAAUGCAUAGAUAUGCCAUAGAACACCAAUUGCGAAGGCAGCUGGCUAGACCUGGAUUGACGCUGAGGCACGAGAGCGUGGGGAGCGAACAGG
rnacentral:rRNA from 1 species